UAAGAAGAGACCAGCAACCGGGCGU
rnacentral:misc_RNA from 1 species